rnacentral:tRNA from 1 species
UCUCUGGUAGUAUAUCGGUUAGUACACGUGCCUGUCAAGUAUGUUUUCGUGUGAAAGCUGGGUUUGACUCCCAGCCAGAGAG